rnacentral:rRNA from 1 species
ACGUAGGGAGCAAGCGUUGUCCGGAAUUACUGGGUGUAAAGGGAGCGUAGGCGGGAAUGCAAGUUGAAUGUCAAAUCUACCGGCUUAACUGGUAGCCGCGUUCAAAACUGCGUUUCUUGAGUGAAGUAGAGGCAGGCGGAAUUCCUAGUGUAGCGGUGAAAUGCGUAGAUAUUAGGAGGAACACCAGUGGCGAAGGCGGCCUGCUGGGCUUUUACUGACGCUGAGGCUCGAAAGUGUGGGUAGCAAACAG